UACGGAGGGGGCUAGCGUUGUUCGGAAUUACUGGGCGUAAAGCGCACGUAGGCGGACUGUUAAGUCGGGGGUGAAAUCCUGGGGCUCAACCUCAGAAUUGCCUCCGAUACUGGCAGUCUCGAGUGCGGGAGAGGUGAGCGGAAUUCCCAGUGUAGAGGUGAAAUUCGUAGAUAUUGGGAAGAACACCAGUGGCGAAGGCGGCUCACUGGCCCGUAACUGACGCUGAGGUGCGAAAGCGUGGGGAGCAAACAGG
rnacentral:rRNA from 1 species